rnacentral:SRP_RNA from 1 species
GCUGUGUGUGGUGGUGCAUGCCUGUAGUCCUAGCUACUCAGGAGGCUGAGGCAGGAGGACCACUUGAGCCCAGGAUGUCCAGGCUGCAGUGAGCUAUGAUCAUACCACUGCACUCCAGCCUGGGCUACAGAGUGAGACCCUGUCUCUA